rnacentral:rRNA from 1 species
UUUCGGUCAUCGAUGGGGAUGCGUUCCAUUAGGUUGUUGGCGGGGUAACGGCCCACCAAGCCUUCGAUGGAUAGGGGUUCUGAGAGGAAGGUCCCCCACAUUGGAACUGAGACACGGUCCAAACUCCUACGGGAGGCAGCAUG